rnacentral:rRNA from 1 species
UACGGGGGGGGCAAGCGUUGUUCGGAAUUACUGGGCGUAAAGGGCUCGUAGGCGGCCAACUAAGUCGGACGUGAAAUCCCCAGGCUCAACCUGGGAACUGCGUCCGAUACUGGAUGGCUUGAAUUCGGGAGAGGGAUGCAGAAUUCCCGGUGUAGCGGUGAAAUGCGCAGAGAUCGGGAGGAACACCCGUAGCGAAGGCGGCGCUCUGGGCCGGUACUGACGCUGAGGAGCGAAAGCGUGGGGAGCAAACAGG